GCGGCGCGGCGGGCGGGGUGCACGCAUGGCGAGUUCUGCGGGGCUCGCGUUGUGCGGCCAGGCGCUGGUGGUGCGGGGCGGCAGCCGCUUCCUGGCCACCUCCACUGCGAGCAGUGAUGAUGACAGUGUCUUCAUGUACGAUUGCAGUACAACAGAAGAGAAGGCACCAGAAAGUAAUGGGGAGGACAGACAGCCUGUGGACAAAGGGAGUGACAUGAUUCUGGCGUCCACCUUCUCCACGUCUGGCAGCUAUUUUGCUUUAACUGAUGACAGUAAGCGUCUGAUUCUUUUCCGUACAAAACCAUGGCAAUGUCUGAGUGUCAGGGCUGUGGUGAGGAGGUGCACGGCGCUCACCUUCACGGCCUCCGAGGAGCAGGUCUUGGUAGCUGACAAGUCUGGAGACGUCUAUUCCUUCUCGGUGCUGGAGCCCGAGGGACCAGGCAGGCUGGAGCUCGGGCACCUGUCCAUGCUGCUGGACGUGGCUGUGAGUCCUGAUGACCGCUUCGUGCUCACUGCAGAUCGUGAUGAGAAGAUCCGCGUCAGCUGGGCAGCCGCACCGCACAGCAUUGAGGCCUUCUGCCUGGGGCACACGGAGUUUGUGAGCCGCAUCUUUGUGGUGCCCGGUCACCCCGAGCUGCUCCUGUCUUCCUCUGGGGACGGCACCUUGCGGCUGUGGGAGUACAGGAGUGGCCUCCAGCUCCAUUGCUGCGACCUGGCUGGCCUGUGGGCGCCGGCGGAAUCCAAGGACCACAAGGGCCUUGCUGCAUCCAGGAUUACGUUCUGGGGCCAGGAGAGCUGCGUGGCAGUUCUGUGUGACUGCGUUCCUGCCGUGUUCGUCUUCCAGCUCGAUGCUGACACACGGCAGCUGGUAUUCAGACAGCAGCUCAGCUUCCCCCAGCGGGUGUGGGACGUCGUGUUCGAGGACGCCCGGGGAUUGUGGGUUUUGCAGGACUGCCGCGAGGCCCCCCUCAUGCUCUGGAGGCCUGUGGAUGGCCAGUGGCAGCCUGUCUGUGAAAGCGCCGUGUCCCAGAGGCUCUCCAGCCGGCUCCGCGGGGACUGGGCCAUGUUGGAAGGCUCCGUGAGUGCGGAGGACAGCUUCCGCAGCCUCUACAAGGCCACCUUCGACAACAUGGCCUCCUACCUGAGGAAGAAGGGGGAGAGGCUGCAGCAGCAGCGGGGGAGGAAGCGGCCGCAGAGCCCUCCGCCGGGGCCCAGCAAGAGGGCGCGGCCCGGCCCGCAGCCCUGACCUGCCGACCCCGCCGGAGCCCCCUCCCCCCGCCCGCGGCCCUCAUCAGGAACGGGGCGCAGCUAGGUCUCCAGCAGCUCGGCACAGCACAACCCCUGCUCUCCAGGCUCCAGAACGUUCUGCCUCGCUGGAUACAGCCCUUGUCUGGCAGCUUUUCACUAGUUCUGGUAUGGAAAGCGCCGUGAGCGCCUCGUGCUCCCGCAGGCACCGGUGCAGAGGUUGCAGAGGCCCGAGCCAGGUUACUCGGAGGCGUGGUUGAACAGCCAUUUGGAGUUUUUUCCCCAGACUUCCUCUGUUAACUGAGUUCUGGCUCAAUUGGACUGAGGUCUCAGAAUCCACCCUGAUUUGCUAUAGGCCUGCUUGUCGGCUGUGGUGUCUGUGAGCCUGGCCUGGUGUGAGUGAAGAACACCAUCAGCUGCUUCACUUUUGUUUACAUCUCAUCUUUGGUCACUGCAGUGUUUAAGUGUCUAGCCCUAGCUGUGGCUUGGGUAACCUUCCGUUGUCUUAGCUUUCUGUGUUUUAGACCCUGACGGGGCGCACGUGCCUAGCAGGUCACUGCUUCUCAGUCAUCGGGAGCCACGCCCCCUCCUCCCUGUUUUUAUUCUUUGUUCUAAAGUAUUACCUGAAAUUAAGGAACUACUCUACUCCAUGGUUCCUGUGAUUGCUGUGGCCUGUCCUGCAGGUGUGUGAUGUGUGUGCACUGCACACGCCUUUCAUACUCCCUCAGCUUUUUCACUCAAGGCUGGCACUCCACUGCUUGAGCCAC